UUGGACAUAUGGGGGUCAGGGAACUGCUUGAGGAGACAAUCUGUCCUUUAUUGGAGCUCAAGUGCUGAGCUGUGAGCUCUGUUGUUCAUUCAUUGCUGGGCAGGCACGUUUAGCACUGCUGCAGCAGAACUGGUAAACUCCUUUUUUUCCCCCAGGUGCUCUGUCCCAGGGGUUUAGGGCUUUAUUUAUCAGUUUUUUUGAUG